UCGAACUCCUGACCUCAGGUGUUCCACCCGCCUCAGCCUCCCAAAGUGCUGGGAUUACAGGCAUGAGCCACCAUCCCAGUCUCUUAUCCUUGUCGAAAAAUGUGUAUCUUGUGAAUCCCGAACCAGUUAUACUCAGUUAACAUUUUAGAAUUCUUUGAUCUUUAGAAGGCAAAUUAACCACAGCAGCUGUCGGGCUUAAUGAUACUUGGGAACAUCAGUACAAUCUCCACCCCCUCACAGUAUACAAGGAGAAUGAAUUACUUGUCUGAAAACACACCAGGAGUCCUUUAAGUAAAUAAUUAUAAUGCAAGCAUAUGUCCUUAUUAAAUUGGGUGCUUCUGCAAAAAAAAGGAGGAAAUGAAAGGAGGGUUUGAAAUACUUGUGCAGACAAUCUUCAUUCCUUCUUCAGAACAAUGAUCAAGACCAAAACAAUCUGACCACAAAAAUAAAUCAGAUCAACAUUGCCACAUCUUUGGAGGAACUUCAAAGAAACUUUCCUUUACCUGUUAUCAUCAGCUGGAAAAGCUGCAGGGCCUCCCAGCAAACCAUGUCUGAUUUGGGGAAUAAAUUAAAAAGACAUUAUUUCUGAGUCAUGGCUUCUGAGUUCUGGCGCCUCUAAGGAAGUAAUUAAGAUUCUACAAGCCAGGAAGAGAAACUGAAACUGACCAUGCUGGUACCUUGAGCUUGGACUGCAGCCUCCAAAACUGUGAGAAAAUAAAUUGCUGUUAUUUAAGCUA